UGCGUAGGUGGGUUGGUAAGUCAGUGGUGAAAUCCCCGAGCUUAACUUGGGAACUGCCAUUGAUACUAUCAGUCUUGAAUAUUGUGGAGGUUAGCGGAAUAUGUCAUGUAGCGGUGAAAUGCUUAGAUAUGACAUAGAACACCAAUUGCGAAGGCAGCUGGCUACGCAUAUAUUGACACUGAGGCACGAAAGCGGUGGGGAUACAAACA
rnacentral:rRNA from 1 species